CAUUCAUGUCUCCCGACAACACUAACCCACCAGGUAACCCUCACCUCCAGAGGAGAAGGGACUGGGCCGGGGCCACGGAAGGGCCACUCUCCCGACCCCGAGGGCUGCCCCUGGGUCACAAGACACCCACUGGUUUUACCCUUAAGGGGGCUGGGUUCUCCGACCUCUCCUGCACAUACCAGGACAAUUACUGCGGGACAGUCGCAGUCAGGAAGGCUUUGGGUGUGUGAGACCCCCUACUAGUGGCUUCUAGCCACCGCGGACCCCGCUCUUCUGACCUCUCAGGCGCAGUGAAGCUCUUGAUCAAGAACAGAGUUCCAGGAUGGGAUGGAAAUCUUAACAGCUCUUCUCCAGACACAUGUGCCAGAGGCUCAUCCCCCACAGUCACUUCCAAGGAUUAGAUCCAGGCAAGGAGAAGGAAACUGGAGUCCUUGGAGGGGCAAAGGGCCAUCACGACUUCAUCUCGUCUCUGCCUAUUACCAAUAGGGGACUUUUGGAAGUCAUUUUCUCUCCCUAGGGCCUCAGUUUCCCUGUCUGUGAAGCAGAAGAAGGCUCUGCUAUCUCCAAAUUUGCUCUGGGGAUCAGAUGAGACAAUGUGUAUAAAUGUGCUUUGUAAACUGUGGCACCCCGGACAAUGGCAGAGGGGGGAGGCAGUGGGUACAAAGGAGAUUUGAAGGCCAGGUCAUGCCCCUUAAGCCCUAGGGGGCCCCAAUGUGGGGUGCUUGAUGGGAGGGGGAAGGGGAGAAGGGAUGGUGCUGCAGCCCAUCCUCCUCUACCCUAGGC